ACAGAGACUUAAUUUCUAGCUUAGAAAAGAGGCUCAAUGAGUGGACAUAACGUCCUUCUCCCCCUUAUACACAGAGCUAGACGUCCAUUUUCAAACUUUCAGAUGUCUAGAUCUAAAUCAUAGUAAGGUCAUACAUCCAUGCCAUCUUUACUAGAGAAUCUUUUUUUAGAUUCAACUGACAACUUCUGGUAUUUGUCUUUUGUUUUUGAGACAGGGUCUCAUUCCAUCAUCAGGUUAGAGUGCAGUGGCAUGAUCACAGCUCACUGCGGCAUCAACUUCCUGGGCUCAGGUGAUCCUCCCCGCUCAGCCUCCAAGUAGCUGGGACUACAGGCGCAUGCCACCAUGCCCGGCUGAUUUUUUUUGUAUUGUCUGACAGGGUUUCACCAUGUUGCCCAGGCUGGUCUUGAACACCGAGGCUCAAGCAAUCCACCCCUCUUGGCCUCCCAAUGGUAUUUAUCAUUUUUCUUGUGCUUUCCAGUAAAAUAUAAUGCUAGAUCCAAAAAUAAUAAACACAAAGAGUCUGAAGUAGUUGAGAACCACAGGCCAUUUAAAAAAUUAAAAUUCAUUGCUUGUUGCUAAUCUAAUUUAUUUUGGGUCCCCA
rnacentral:lncRNA from 1 species